AUCUGCUUCCAUCGUGUGCAUUCAUUCUUGUAAAACCUCAGCCUCAGAAGGACAGCGGAUGCCACAAUAGCUCAGCGAGGACCCUGGAUGAGCCAGAGUGGCGGCCAAGGGGAGACGGAGCGGCCCUUCACAGCCAGGGGAGCACGGAGGGCCACCACCAUGCACCCGGCAGCUGACUCAUCGGCCCGGUGGGCUUGCUACCUCCAGCACAGGUGGACUUUGCUUCCACACCGGAGACGAUAGGCAGUGUGGAUGAUGUGUCCGGGAAGGGGACUUCCUCACCCAGGGCUGUGGCUUCUUGCUGUGCAGACCCCGCCAUCAGGCCUGAAGAUGCGUGUCACCCUCUUGGGGACCCUGAGUCCUGGGGGAGUGUCAUUUCCAGGGAUCAGUGGGCCACCCCUUCCCUGGCAUGGUGUCACUGGCAUUUCAGGUGGAUGAGUCACUGUGGUGGGUCUGUCCAGGGCACUGUAACCUGCUUCCUGGCCUCCACCCACUGGAUGCUGGGAGCUUGCUCCUGCAGCUGUUGCAGCCAGCACUGCUUCCAGACACCACAAGGGCCCUGGGCAUGGAAAUACCCCGGCUGAACCCCCUGGUUGGACGUUUGGCCCAUCCAUCCCAGGCCCCUGGCACAGUAAAGGACAAGAGCCUGGUCGGAUUCAGAGGGACAGAGACCCCAAGCAUCGAGAGGCGCGGCUCCGUGCUGGAGGGCCACCUUCGAGGUGAGGAGUCAUUAAAACCUGGUGAGGCCAGGCCCUGGCCUUGGGGAUGUCCACAUGGGGGUUGGCACUGCUCCUCCACGGCCUCAGAGCUGGUUUAGUCUGAGUCCUGCUGUCCUUGGGGGCAGCUCUCAUCCACAUCGAUUCUCAAAUCUGGGCACUGGCUUGUUUUGUGGGUUCUUGAGUCCCCUGACAUAUACCCCUGCUCUGUUUCCUGGGGUCUCUGGGGAUCUUGCGAGCCCUUUGGUCUCCUUACCCCCUCACCUGGCCUCUUUCAUCCACCACUGUCCCCUGAGGCCCCUGUGUCUUGGUAUCAGAGCCGCCUCUUGGACUGUCUGCUCCAAAUCUUCUUUGCCCCUGUGCUGUCAGAUCCUGGUGGGCAGCCAGUGACUCACUGCCCAGGGCUCCCACUGGACAGCGACUCCCUGUAAGAAAAUCCCAGGUGCUGACAGGAGAAGGUCCCAUGGGGAGGGACAGGCCCACAUGCGGCUAGCUCAGGAGGUCACCACGGUGGGACGGUCUUAGUGAGCUUGUCCUGCCUGAGUGUGCCAGGGAGAUCAUCUCUCUGAGGAAGAUUUGGAAUGGGGAUGUCCACAUCCUAGAGGGGGAGGUGACCAGGUUUUGUGUGUCCCUGACAUUCUGCUCAAGUUGCCUGGGCUCUCUGUGAGUGCUCCAAGAAAACUUCCUGAGCCCCUGAAGCUCUGUGGAGCCGACCUGCAUGAAACCCUCACUCACAGUGAGUGCUGGGAGCUCUAUACUAACUGCAGAGCCCCCUGAAUUCUGUAAGAAGCUGGCUGGGCAGAUGCCAGAUGUUUACAGUUUGCCCUCAUGCUGAUU